CACGUAGGGCGCAAGCGUUGUCCGGAAUUAUUGGGCGUAAAGAGCUCGUAGGCGGUCUGUUGCGUCCGCUGUGAAAACUCGGGGCUUAACCCCGAGCCUGCAGUGGAUACGGGCAGACUAGAGGUAGGUAGGGGAGAUUGGAAUUCCUGGUGUAGCGGUGGAAUGCGCAGAUAUCAGGAGGAACACCAAUGGCGAAGGCAGAUCUUUGGGCCGUAACUGACGCUGAGGCACGAAAGCUAGGGGAGCAAACAGG
rnacentral:rRNA from 1 species